GCCUCCUCCUCCCCUGCGGCUCCGACCGAGGAGCUGCCCGACUCUGCUCGGGAAAGGCCCAGCAAAGAGUGGACCGAAGCCAUGUGUUCCUGCCAGCAGAUUGUUCCACUACGAUUUUAAGGACACCGUUUACUUGGUUUCAGAAACCCCAGAGUGCUGGAGGCAGAGGUAGCUGUGCAUCAUUCCUGUUCCCCCUCUGUGGGGAAGAGGAGAGUGUAUUAACAGAUUAUGGAUCUUCUGACUCGUCCAAGUGGAGAUAUUAUGCGGCGGAAUCCACAGCAAGACUACGAGCUCAUCCAGCGAGUGGGGAGUGGCACCUAUGGAGAUGUCUAUAAGGCCAGAAAUGUGCACAGUGGCGAGUUGGCUGCAGUUAAAAUUAUCAAACUAGAACCAGG